CCUACGGGUGGCAGCAGUGAGGAAUAUUGGUCAAUGGGCGGAAGCCUGAACCAGCCAAGUCGCGUGAGGGAAUAAGGCCCUACGGGUUGUAAACCUCUUUUGCCGGGGAGCAACGGCCGGGACGCGUGCCGCCCCGGAGAGUACCCGGAGAAAAAGCAUCGGCUAACUCCGUGCCAGCAGCCGCGGUAAUACGGAGGAUGCGAGCGUUAUCCGGAUUUAUUGGGUUUAAAGGGUGCGUAGGCGGGUUGUUAAGUCAGCGGUAAAAAUUCGGGGCUCAACCCCGUCCCGCCGUUGAAACUGGCGGCCUUGAGUGGGCGAGAAGAAGGCGGAAUGCGUGGUGUAGCGGUGAAAUGCAUAGAUAUCACGCAGAACCCCGAUUGCGAAGGCAGCAUUCCGGCGCCCUACUGACGCUGAGGCACGAAAGCGUGGGGAUCGAACAGGAUUAGAUACCCGAGUAGUC
rnacentral:rRNA from 1 species